rnacentral:rRNA from 1 species
UGGCUCAGCAUGAACGCUAGCGGCAGGCUUAACACAUGCAAGUCGAGGGGCAGCGGGGAGGAAGCUUGCUUUCUCCGCCGGCGACCGGCGCACGGGUGAGUAACACGUAUGCAACCUGCCCCUGUCAGGGGGACAACCCGCCGAAAGGCGGGCUAAACCCGCGUACAUGCCACCGGGGCAUCCCGGAGGCAGGAAAGGCUUCGGCCGGACAGGGAUGGGCAUGCGGCGCAUUAGGCAGUAGGCGGGGUAACGGCCCACCUAACCGACGAUGCGUAGGGGUUCUGAGAGGAAGGUCCCCCACACUGGUACUGAGACACGGACCAGACUCCUACGGGAGGCAGCAGUGAGGAAUAUUGGUCAAUGGUCGGGAGACUGAACCAGCCAAGCCGCGUGAGGGAUGAAGGUACAGAGUAUCGUAAACCUCUUUUGUCAGGGAACAAAGGCGGGGACGUGUCCCCGGAUGAGUGUACCUGAAGAAAAAGCAUCGGCUAACUCCGUGCCAGCUGCCGCGGUAAUACGGAGGAUGCGAGCGUUAUCCGGAUUUAUUGGGUUUAAAGGGUGCGCAGGCGGUCUGUUAAGUCAGCGGUCAAAGCCCGGGGCUCAACCCCGGCCCGCCGUUGAAACUGGCAGUCUCGAGUUGGAGAGAAGUAUGCGGAAUGCGCGGUGUAGCGGUGAAAUGCAUAGAUAUCGCGCAGAACUCCGAUUGCGAAGGCAGCAUGCCGGCUCCACACUGACGCUGAGGCACGAAAGCGUGGGUAUCGAACAGGAUUAGAUACCCUGGUAGUCCACGCAGUAAACGAUGAAUGCUGGCUGUCCGGGGGGGAUUGACCCCUGGGUGGCGAAGCGAGAGCGAUAAGCAUUCCACCUGGGGAGUACGCCGGCAACGGUGAAACUCAAAGGAAUUGACGGGGGCCCGCACAAGCGGAGGAACAUGUGGUUUAAUUCGAUGAUACGCGAGGAACCUUACCCGGGCUCAAACGGGGAGUGACUCAGGCAGAGACGCCUGUUUCCCACGGGACACUCCCCGAGGUGCUGCAUGGUUGUCGUCAGCUCGUGCCGUGAGGUGUCGGCUUAAGUGCCAUAACGAGCGCAACCCCCGCGUGCAGUUGCUAACAGAUAACGCUGAGGACUCUGCACGGACUGCCGGCGCAAGCCGCGAGGAAGGCGGGGAUGACGUCAAAUCAGCACGGCCCUUACGUCCGGGGCGACACACGUGUUACAAUGGGUGGUACAGCGGGAAGCCAGGCGGCGACGCCGAGCGGAACCCGAAAUCCACUCUCAGUUCGGAUCGGAGUCUGCAACCCGACUCCGUGAAGCUGGAUUCGCUAGUAAUCGCGCAUCAGCCAUGGCGCGGUGAAUACGUUCCCGGGCCUUGUACACACCGCCCGUCAAGCCAUGGGAGCCGAGGGCGCUUGAAGUGCGUCGCCGCGAGGCGCGCCCUAGAGCGAAAUCGGUGACUGGGGCUAAGUCGUAACAAGG